rnacentral:lncRNA from 1 species
AUAGCAAGGAAAAUACAGCCACUAUUUUGUAAGAACUUAAAAUCGAGUAUAAGCUAUGAUCUCUGUUAUAACCCUGAAACUUAUAUAAUAUUGGAAUUCAACUAGUUGUUGUUGUUGUUGAGUCACUAAGUCAUGUCUGACUCUUUGUGAUCUCAUAGACUAUAGCGUGCCAGGCUCUUCAGUCCAUGGAAUUUACCAGGCAAGAAUACUGGAAUGGCUUGCCAUUUCUUUCUGCAGAGGAUCUUCCUGGCCCAGGGAUCAAAUCCACAUCUCUCGCAUUGACAGGCAGAUUAUUUACUGCUGAGACACCAGGAAAGCAAUUCAACUAUACUUCACCUAAAAGCUGUAUAAUGGAAGAUUAUAAAAUGAGAUAAAGUGUGGAGGGCUGACUCAUCAAUUGCUACUUGGAAGGUCAAGAUAUUAAACCUGAG